rnacentral:rRNA from 1 species
AGAGUUUGAUCAUGGCUCAGAGCGAACGCUGGCGGCAGGCCUAACACAUGCAAGUCGAACGGAUCCUUCGGGAUUAGUGGCGGACGGGUGAGUAACACGUGGGAACGUGCCCUUUGGUUCGGAACAACUCAGGGAAACUUGAGCUAAUACCGGAUAAGCCCUACGGGGGAAAGAUUUAUCGCCAUUGGAGCGGCCCGCGUCUGAUUAGCUAGUUGGUGAGGUAAAGGCUCACCAAGGCGACGAUCAGUAGCUGGUCUGAGAGGAUGAUCAGCCACAUUGGGACUGAGACACGGCCCAAACUCCUACGGGAGGCAGCAGUGGGGAAUCUUGCGCAAUGGGCGAAAGCCUGACGCAGCCAUGCCGCGUGAAUGAUGAAGGUCUUAGGAUUGUAAAAUUCUUUCAGCAGGGACGAUAAUGACGGUACCUGCAGAAGAAGCCCCGGCUAACUUCGUGCCAGCAGCCGCGGUAAUACGAAGGGGGCUAGCGUUGCUCGGAAUUACUGGGCGUAAAGGGCGCGUAGGCGGGUCGUUUAGUUAGAGGUGAAAGCCCAGGGCUCAACCCUGGAAUUGCCUUUAAUACUGGCGGCCUUGAGUAUGGCAGAGGUGUGUGGAACUCCGAGUGUAGAGGUGAAAUUCGUAGAUAUUCGGAAGAACACCAGUGGCGAAGGCGACACACUGGGCCAUUACUGACGCUGAGGCGCGAAAGCGUGGGGAGCAAACAGGAUUAGAUACCCUAGUAGUCC